CAGCAGCCGCGGUAAUACGUAGGGUGCGAGCGUUAAUCGGAAUUACUGGGCGUAAAGCGUGCGCAGGCGGUUUUGUAAGACAGGCGUGAAAUCCCCGGGCUCAACCUGGGAAUGGCGCUUGUGACUGCAAAGCUAGAGUGCGGCAGAGGGGGAUGGAAUUCCGCGUGUAGCAGUGAAAUGCGUAGAUACGCGGAGGAACACCGAUGGCGAAGGCAAUCCCCUGGGCCUGCACUGACGCUCAUGCACGAAAGCGUGGGGAGCAAACGGGAUUAGAUACCCCCGUAGUCCCUGUCUCUUAUAA
rnacentral:rRNA from 1 species